GAAAGACUCAAACCAUUGCUUGUAGCGAUGCGGACAUAUGACGAAGGUUACAAUGUGUGUGGGAGCCUUAAGGAUUGGUGAUUCUAGACGUUUCCCUUUCAUGUUUUAGUAGGGUAUGCGGCAUGACUCUUCUGCGUGUGGUCUGCUCGUCUCGCGACUGGAUGGCGCCGGUGUGUUUGGGAAAUAGAGUGACUGCGUUUGGAAAAUCUUCGGUGGCUAAAGGAGAAAGGAAGAGUGAGACUGAGCGACUGGACUGCGAGAAUGCAGCGAUUAGUGUGUGUAGUAGGAGGUGACUAGCGGAACAGCAUAGAGUGCCGUGUCACGACACUGUCCAACGUCGUGACGGUGCGUCGCUAUGCCCGUUCCGCGCCUUUCCGGGGCGCAAUGGCAGUCGUCAGGCCUUCAUCUGAGCACCUGUUGUAUUCGGCCGAGGAGGACGAGGAGAACGGACAGGAGGAGAAGCAGCGAUCUGCCGACACCUCCCACACCCUCUGCGCUUCCGUGAUGCAGCUCGGCUAAGCUUUCUCCUGAAACAUUGAAUACUUUUGAGAUGCGCAUUUGUGUUUGUCAGGAGAUUGUGUGACAAGACCUUGUUGCAGACGUGUGAACUCCAGUUAAGAAUUGCUCGCUCAAGUGCACACGGAACAGCUACGCUCGACACUCGUAACAUCAAAGCGGUGCUGCAUAGCCCACUUCUCCGUGAACCAGAAAUGCAGUUUAACACAUUCGCAUUGGGUAAUUUUUGUUAAAACUUUCCUAUCAGAUGAGAUAUUAUAAUGAUGUAAAGAUAUUUCAAUAUAUGUGUAUUAAAACUGCGAUAAUUACUUUUGUAAUUAAUGUAUAAUGCAAUACAUAAUCUAGUAUUUUAGCAUAUUCGCUGUAGGAAAUUUUUGUUAAAACUUUCCUAUCAGAUGAGGUAUUUUAAUGAUAUAAAGAUAUUUCAAUAUAUGUGUAUUAAAAGUGCGAUAAUUACUUUUGUAAUUAAUGUAUAAUGCAAUACAGAAUCUAGUGUUUUAGCAUAUUCGCUUUAGGAAAUUUUUGUUAAAACUUUCCUAUCAGAU